CCCGCGUAGCUACCUGCAGUCGAGCGGAACGAUCCCAGCUUGCUGGGAGGCGUCGAGCGGCGGACGGUUGAGUAAUGCAUAGGAAUCUGCCCGGUAGUGGGGGAUAACUUGAGGAAACUCAAGCUAAUACCGCAUACGCCCUACGGGGGAAAGCAGGGGCUCUUCGGACCUUGCGCUAUCGGAUGAGCUUAUGUCGGAUUAGCUGGUUGGUGAGGUAAUGGCUCACCAAGGCGACGAUCCGUAGCUGGUCUGAGAGGAUGAUCAGCCACAUCGGGACUGAGACACGGCCCGAACUCCUACGGGAGGCAGCAGUGGGGAAUAUUGGACAAUGGGCGAAAGCCUGAUCCAGCCAUGCCGCGUGUGUGAAGAAGGCCCUCGGGUUGUAAAGCACUUUCAGUGAGGAAGAAGGCUUGUCGGUUAAUACCCGACAGGAAAGACAUCACUCACAGAAGAAGCACCGGCUAACUCCGUGCCAGCAGCCGCGGUAAUACGGAGGGUGCAAGCGUUAAUCGGAAUUACUGGGCGUAAAGCGUGCGUAGGCGGCUUGGUAAGCCGGUUGUGAAAGCCCCGGGCUCAACCUGGGAAUGGCAUCCGGAACUGUCAGGCUAGAGUGCAGGAGAGGAAGGUAGAAUUCCCGGUGUAGCGGUGAAAUGCGUAGAGAUCGGGAGGAAUACCAGUGGCGAAGGCGGCCUUCUGGACUGACACUGACGCUGAGGUACGAAAGCGUGGGUAGCAAACAGGAUUAGAUACCCUGGUAGUCCACGCCGUAAACGAUGUCGACUAGCCGUUGGGGUCCUUGAGACCUUUGUGGCGCAGUUAACGCACUAAGUCGACCGCCUGGGGAGUACGG
rnacentral:rRNA from 1 species